CCCUCUUCUUGGACCUGUAUAAAUAGCUUCUUCUACCCUUUUCUAUACCACACAGAAACACAAGCUAUCUCAGCUUCUUCAUCUGUUUUUAUCCAGUUUCUAGUAUUCAAUUAAAAAAAAUGGCUUCUUUCGCUCCUCAGUGUGUUCUGAAGCUGUUCCUCCUACUCUCUGUCUUUCAGGUCGCUUUUGGGGCUAGAAAGCUCAAUGAGCUAGUGCAAGAUCAGCCUCAGCUCUUGAGUUACCACAAUGGUCCUCUUCUUUCUGGUAAAAUCUCAAUCAACCUCAUUUGGUAUGGCAAAUUCAAGCCAUCCCAGAAAGCCAUCAUCUCUGAUUUUAUCACUUCAUUGUCAGCUCCGUCAUCCCAAAAUGCCCAGCCCUCUGUUGCUGCCUGGUGGAAAACCACCGAGAAAUAUUACCACCUCGCCUCCAAAAAGUCCACUCUUUCCACUGCUUUGGGCAAGCAAAUACUAGAUCAAACAUACUCACUAGGAAAAUCACUCACAAACAAACAUAUUGUCCAGUUGGCCUCAAAGGGAGAUCAAAUGAAUGCUAUUAACGUUGUACUCACGUCCUCUGAUGUUGCCGUUGAAGGUUUUUGCCUCAACAGAUGUGGGACUCAUGGAUCUGCUUCUGGAUCCCAAACUGGUCACAUCAAGGGCAAGAAUUACAAAUUUGCCUACAUUUGGGUUGGUAACUCGGAGACUCAGUGCCCUGGUUACUGCGCCUGGCCAUUCCACCAGCCAAUCUACGGACCACAGAGCUCACCCUUGGUUGCACCGAACAACGAUGUGGGUGUUGAUGGUAUGGUAAUCAACUUGGCAAGCCUUUUGGCUGGGACUGCCACGAACCCAUUUGGAAAUGGAUACUUCCAGGGUCCAAAGGAGGCGCCAUUGGAGGCAGCAUCAGCUUGCACUGGGGUUUAUGGGAAAGGGGCUUAUCCGGGCUAUGCUGGCAACUUACUAGUGGAUUCUAGCACUGCUGCUAGCUACAAUGCAAAUGGAGAAAAUGGCAGGAAGUACUUGCUCCCAGCUUUGUAUGAUCCUUCUACAUCUUCUUGUUCAACCUUGGUCUAAAAAUGUUGGAGGUAGUGGAUUAGGAUUUAUCCUUAGAUUAGGAGUUAUUAUAGUGGAAUUAUUGUAUAAAUUACACAUCUAUUAGAGAGAGAGACGUUGUAAUUGAUUUGUUUGUUAAAUUUUUUUGGCUUACGCGGCUUAAUAACAGAAAGCAAAUUACUUUGGUUUGCUUUUUCAUUGAAAA
rnacentral:misc_RNA from 1 species